rnacentral:lncRNA from 1 species
UCCGACACAAAUCACAUCAUCUUCAACCUUGAGACUGCUUAGAACAUGCCUAAGUAUCAUUGUGCAGCACAGUGUUAGUGGCGUAAUAAUAUAUUACCGGAGCAGAGAAACUGCAUACACAGGAUUAAGAGUGGAAAUUAACAAGACAGCCUUGUAGGAGCUUAACAUCUGCAAAGCUUCCAUGGCGUCACUGGAUCUCAACGUCUAUGACCUUGCGAUCCGUCUUCGUCUUGGGGAUAACGACCAGCAGCACCCC